rnacentral:rRNA from 1 species
CUGGUCUCCAAACGGGGGCAUGUGCACGCUCUGUUUGUGCAUCCACUCACACCUGUGCACCUUCUGUAGUUCUGUGGCCUGGGGGACUCGUCCUCCUGCUGUGGUUCUGCAUCUUUACACUCACGCUGUGAUAAAGUCUAAUGGAAUGCAUGCCGCGUUUAACGCAAUACAAUACAACUUUCAGCAACGGAUCUCUUGGCUCUCGCAUCGAUGAAGAACGCAGCGAAAUGCGAUAAGUAAUGUGAAUUGCAGAAUUCAGUGAAUCAUCGAAUCUUUGAACGCACCUUGCGCCCUUUGGCUAUUCCGAAGGGCAUGCCUGUUUGAGUAUCAUGAACAUCUCAACUCCUCACGGUUUGCCCGUGAUGAGCUUGGACUUUGGGGGUCUUGCUGGCCUGCAGGUCGGCUCCUCUCAAAUGAAUCAGCUUGCCGGUGUCUGGUGGCGUCACAGGUGUGAUAACUAUCUACGCUUGUGGUU